rnacentral:rRNA from 1 species
GUCGAGAAUCUUCCGCAAUGGGCGCAAGCCUGACGGAGCGAUGCCGCGUGAGGGAUGAAGGCCUUCGGGUUGUAAACCUCUGUCAGAGGGGACGAAGAAUGUGACGGUACCCUCAGAGGAAGCCACGGCUAACUACGUGCCAGCAGCCGCGGUAAUACGUAGGUGGCGAGCGUUAUUCGGAUUCACUGGGCGUAAAGGGUCCGUAGGGGGUCUGCCAAGUCUGGUGUGAAAUCCCGCGGCUCAACUGCGGAACGGCACUGGAUACUGGCGGGCUAAGAGUCUGCGAGGGGUGAGCGGAAUUCCUGGUGUAGCGGUGGAAUGCGUAGAUAUCAGGAAGAACACCGAUGGCGAAGGCGGCUCACUGGCGCAGUACUGACCCUGAGGGACGAAAGCGUGGGUAGCAAACAGGAUUAGAAACCCCUGUAGUCC